AUAUGCUGGCGAUGCAAAGAGCACAAAGGCACCAUGCUGCACAUAUGGUGGUCCUGCGACACCGUAAACGAACUCUGGAAAAUAACAGAAUGAUUGGUUCAAGAAAUCACAGACUGCACCCUACCACACGAACCAAAAACAAUACUCUUAAGAUCACUGCCAGAUAGCAUCCCCAAAACUACAAAGAAAAUGAUAUAUCUCAUACUAAGCUCAGUAUCCACUCUAAUAGCAAGAAACUGGAAGACCCCGACUCUCCCUUCAACCCGGGAAAUUAUAACCCUAAUGUCGACAACUAUGGAUUACGAACUCCUCAUGUGGAACCAACUGAAAAUAGGGAAACUAAGCCCAGCCGCAGAUGAGAUGUGGCGCACCUACCUACUAAAGCAGCAGACACCUACACACACCUCUGAAGCCUAAUGUGAC